AGGGCGGUAGCUCAAUUGGCAAGAGCAGCGGUCUCCAAAACCGCAGGUUGCAGGUUCGAUUCCUGUCCGCCCUG
rnacentral:tRNA from 1 species